GAUUGAAGCAAAAGAAGUUAGUUACAGACAGAUCUGGACUUCUAAAAGGUACAAUAAUGGCAACAAGCACUGGACAACCAAGAGGAAUGUAUAGGUUGGGAAUCACCGAUGUCACGUGGAGCAUGGCGACAGAGGGCGGGAGUGGAGAUGCUCACAAUGGACGGCGAUGGCAUGGUGGGAGGGAAGUAAUCUGGCUCUGAGGGCCAGCGACUGGUGAGCGCCCUUGAGAUUCGUGCUCGGAGCAGUGCGAGACGAAGCACAGCUCCUGCGUGGCAGCUGCCAAGGUGCACCAGCGCCGUGGGACUGGCUAAGUGGUGAGACAGAAUGAAACCUCGUGUUCUCUCCUUCAAGCACCCCUGCUUUAGGGUCAUGUAUGGCAUUGCUUCUUAACUGAUUUGUGAGAUGUUUACAGGUGUCUCACUAAAAAAACAAAGCUCUAUGGUCAGUUAAGUUCGGGAAGCACUAAGCUCAGCGAAGCUCUAAACACUUUUAAAGUAAAAGAUGCUACUACAUCAGGUUUGUGUCCAGUCUUUGAGGGAAGCCUGAGCUACCAUAAUUCCCCAAAUUGUCUGUGUAGCCCUCUCCACCUCCGUGCACCAGGAAACACUGAUCUGCACCAGAAGGAACAUUACUAUUCAGAAGAACAGCCUGGGAAAUGCUGGGUUAGGUAACAGGACUUCAUCAGCUUCCCAGCUUCGUCUUUGGGGCCCUGGGCUCCAGUUUCUCCCAAUCUUCCAUUCAUCUGUGGCAGGAACCCGGACUCCGCGCUCCCACAUGGCCAGACCUGCACACCCCUCCACCUGCUGCACGGGCCCUUUCUGAACCGGCUCCUGGCUGCCUUUCCUGCCCUACUUCGGCAUCCUGUGCUGGUCCCACCCAUGCCAGCGGGGUGCGGGUCAGCGCUGCCACCAAUCAGGGCCCCCAUGGGUGCUCCUAAAUCAAGGUCCAGUUUAGGAAAUUUCCUUAUCCCUUUCAACUGUGAGUUAUCACUUCCUCUCUGUGUUCUAUUCACUGCUUCUUAGCAUCACUUUUUAAGUGAUACAAGUACUGAAAUCCAACUUACGUAUCCUGCUGAGCAGGGAGGGUCUGCGCCAGUGCCCUGCAAGUGCAAGCCCGCCCUCAAGGUAAGGAAAGAAGUGGGAGGAGACAGGUCAGAAGUAUGUGACACCACCAGCUGUAUUGGUGGAGCGCUUACUAUGUACACGUGGGAGGAUUCACAUGGAUCAGCUCAUUUAAAAUUUACACAACAGCCCUAUGUUACAGGCACUAUCAUCACCCUCAUUUUAUACAAGGAAACAGAAGUCAAGAAUUUGUUCAAGGUCACUCAAGCUGGAGCUUCAGUUUUAACCCCAGAGCCCCAAACUCUUUACCAAACUAUCCUGCCUCUGAUAGCACGGUCUGAGACAGACCACUCUGAAAAGACAAGGGGAAGCUCAAACCCGGUGUCACUGGUGGCACUAGCAGGAGAGCACGAAGAGCUAAUGAAAGAGGAUGGCGUCUGACGUG